GCUGGUGGAGUUGAUGAUGGAUGUUGUGACAAAGUAGGCUCAGAGUGUGACUGCCUGCAGGGUUUUCAGCUGACCUACUCCCUAAGUGGAGGAACUACAUCUCAGAUGAGUACCCUUCUUGUCAACAAUAUCCAGGAGAAGUGCCCACAUAGGAUCAUAAACCCAUUCAGUGUGCUGCUCUUGUCCAAGGUGUUAGACAUGGUUGUGGAACCCUAUAAUGCCACCCUUUCAGUCCAUCAGCUCAUAGAAAACACAGAUGACACAUGAUGCCUUUAUAAUGAAGCUCUCUACAACAUCUGCUUCAAAACCCUAAAGCUGCUCACAUCCCCUUACAGUGAUCUAAACCACCUGGUGUCUGCCACUAUGACUAGAGUCACCAUCUGCCUGCACUUUCCUGGCCAGCUAAAUGCUGACUGCAGAAACUGUCCAUGAACAUAGCCCCAUUUUCCCACCUGCACUUCUUCUUACCUGGCUUUGCCUCACUGACCGGCUGGGGCAGCCAGCAAUAUUGAGCCUUGACACGGCUGAGCUCACCCAGCAGAUGUUUGACACCAAGAACGUGAUGGCUGCCUGCAACCCUCACCAUGGCUGCUACCUAGUGGUGCUGCCAUUUUCAGGGGCUGCAUGGCCAUGGAGGAAGCAGAUGAGCAAAUGCUUAGUGUCCAAAACAAGUACAGCAGCUACUUUGCUGAUUGGAUCCCCCACAGUGUGAAAAUAGCCGUCUGUGACAUCUUACCCCCAAGGCUAAAAAUGCCCACCACCUUCACUGGCAAUAACAUUACUAUCCAGGAGUUGUUCAGGUGUAUUUCAGAGCAGUUCACAGCCAUGUUUAGGUGCAAGGCCUUCCUGAACCCAUAUGUGAGUGAGGGCAUGGAUGAAAUAGAGUUCAUUGAGGCUGAGAGCAACAUGAACAACCUGGUAUCUGAGUACCAAUAGUACCAGAUGCCAUGGCUGAGGAGGGAGAAUUUGAGAAGUGAGCUAAGGAGGA
rnacentral:lncRNA from 1 species